rnacentral:lncRNA from 1 species
CACAACCCCAGAUAUAACAACCUAAAGCCUUCCCCCUGCAUUUUAUUCCUUCUGAUUGUUUCCCUGCUCUCACAGUAACCUUAUGGAGAAGACCUCUGAUGUCCCCCACAUUUUGCCUUAUUGCAACUUAGGCAUCUUUGUCUCUUUUACCUGCAGACACUCUGCUGGCAUCAGGCAAGCCGGAUCAUGACAACUCACUUUUCCAAGGAAAUAAUCCAUUCCUCAAGGGGAAAUCGAAUCGGAAAGACAGGAGGAAUAUAUUCUUGGGAAACACCUGAGAAACGAUGUAAAGAUAAACUUCUUUAAGUGGAAGAAAUUAAUAAAUAUUCAAAUUUAAAAUCCCAAGAGCUUUCACGUAUGCCAUCAAUAAUACUGUAGAAAAUAGAAUGGGUAAAUGAUCACAUCACAGUGGUAGUAUCAACCACUACAAACUAAAUGAAAC